GAUGAACGCUGGCGGCGUGCCUAAUACAUGCCAGUCGAGCGAACAGACGAGGAGCUUGCUCCUCUGACGUUAGCGGCGGACGGGUGAGUAACACGUGGAUAACCUACCUAUAAGACUGGGAUAACUUCGGGAAACCGGAGCUAAUACCGGAUAAUAUAUUGAACCGCAUGGUUCAAUAGUGAAAGACGGUUUUGCUGUCACUUAUAGAUGGAUCCGCGCCGCAUUAGCUAGUUGGUAAGGUAACGGCAUACCAAGGGAACGAUGCGUAGCCGACCUGAGAGGGUGAUCGGCCACACUGGAACUGAGACACGGUCCAGACUCCUACGGGAGGCAGCAUUAGGGAAUCUUCCGCAAUGGCCGAAAGCCUGACGGAGCAACGCCGCGUGAGUGAUGAAGGUCUUCGGAUCGUAAAACUCUGUUAUUAGGGAAGAACAAAUGUGUAAGUAACUAUGCACGUCUUGACGGUACCUAAUCAGAAAGCCACGGCUAACUACGUG
rnacentral:rRNA from 1 species